rnacentral:rRNA from 1 species
GGGGAAUUUUGGACAAUGGGCGAAAGCCUGAUCCAGCAAUGCCGCGUGCAGGAUGAAGGCCCUCGGGUUGUAAACUGCUUUUGUACGGAACGAAAAGCCUGGGGCUAAUAUCCCCGGGUCAUGACGGUACCGUAAGAAUAAGCACCGGCUAACUACGUGCCAGCAGCCGCGGUAAUACGUAGGGUGCAAGCGUUAAUCGGAAUUACUGGGCGUAAAGCGUGCGCAGGCGGUUUUGUAAGACAGUGGUGAAAUCCCCGGGCUCAACCUGGGAACUGCCAUUGUGACUGCAAAGCUAGAGUGCGGCAGAGGGGGAUGGAAUUCCGCGUGUAGCAGUGAAAUGCGUAGAUAUGCGGAGGAACACCGAUGGCGAAGGCAAUCCCCUGGGCCUGCACUGACGCUCAUGCACGAAAGCGUGGGGAGCAAACA